GGGCACGAAUCCGUGUCCCCUGCAUCGGCAGGCGGACUCUCAACCACUGUGCCUCCAGGGAAGCCCAUCCAUUUAAUUUUCUUAAUGGUAUCCUCUGACAAGUGAAAGUUUAAUUUUGGCUACAACACAAUGGAGAAUACCUUAAGAAAAGAAAAUGAUCCCCCCUGCAAGGUGUACAAAUCAUAAUCUCCAGAACAUGUGACUUCCCAGAACCUCACAUGACAAAAGGGAUUUGCAGAGCCUUGCCAACAGAUUAUGUUGUCAAAGUUUUGGAUUUUUGCCAGUGUAGAUUUAUCCACUGAAAUACUCUGAGAGCAGUUAACACCUCAGUAAAAAUGAAUACUCCUGAUCAGUUCCCACUGAAAGAAAUCAGAGAUCUUUGAGGAAAUUGUUAACUUCAGAUCUGGAGCAUAGAAAAUGCAAGAUAUGGACACUGAGACUCUUAGAAAUGGCAUUCAUCGAGCCCCUAAUGUAUGCUAGGCAUGGUUACAGGUCUCCCCAGCAAGACUGUCAGCCACUCAGGGACAGGGAUUUUGCUUUUUCAGCCAUCCAAUGCACACCUAGCAUCUAGUUUGAAGCCUGUGCACCGUAGACACUGAAUAACUAUUUGCAUAAUGCUGUAUUGUGGACAAAAUCAGACAUGAUGCCUGACUUCAACUAACAGCCUAGUGAGAGAGGCAUAUAUUAAUCAAAUAAUCACAGAGGCAAAUGGAAAAUUAUAAAUUGAUAAGUGCUUAAAAUAGAGCACGUGAUUUUAUGAGAACUUACAGUAGAAGGAUGAGACUUACCUAGAGGACUCAGGAAAGAUGUUCCCAAGAGGAGUGCAACUGAGCUGAGAUCUGAAAGGUGAGGAAGAGUUACCAGGAGAGGAGAGCUGGAACACAGAAAUAAAGAGAAACGUGGUUUCAUCAAGUUACUGUAAGGUACAGCUCAUCCUGGAAAAUCAGGAUAAAAAGUUGCAGAACAGAGAAUAGCAUUAUUGUUGGAGAUUUACAGGAACAUUGAGAACUGACCUACAUGGACAGCUGCAAGAACAAAGGAUUACAACACCAAGACGUCUGCAGCAACGAACAACACCCUCGCCUCUUUUAAUAUAAAAGAAGCUGGAAUUCUAACUCCGCUACGAGUUAGUGUCCUUUGGGACACUAGUCCACCAUCUUCUUGGACUGCUGGCUUUCCAAGUAAAGUGCUGUCCUUGCCCCAGUAACUCGUCUCUUGGUUUACUGGCCUGUUGUGCAGCCAGCAGUAUGAGCUCAGACUCAGUAACUAUAGUUUGGGGAACAUUUUCAUCAUAUUUACCUGUGGAAUUUUGGUGUUUGGAAUUUUUUUUUUUUAAUUCCCCUUAGGUGAAAACAGAAACAUGGAAGUGCUGAUAUUAGUGAUAAUAUCGUCAAGAUAUAAUUGUAAAUGGUCAGUUAAACCCAAAGUGUUGCAUCCUUAUUUUCUACUGCAUGUUUAUUGGACUUAAGCUCAUCAAUUAUCUGUUUGGUUAUCAAAUUAAUAUAAUAAAUUAGAGGUAAUAUAAGGGUCCUUAGAGGAAAGAGGAAGCAGGAGAAUCAGUGUUAGUGUGAUACAGCAUGAAAAAGACUCAACUGGUCAUUGCUGGCUUUGAAGAUGGAAGGGGCCAUGAGCCAAGGAAUGUGAGUAGCCUCUCUAAAAGCUGGAAAAGGGGGCUUCC